GGGUGACAGGUGGUGCAUGGUUGUCGUCAGCUCGUGUCGUGAGAUGUUGGGUUAAGUCCCGCAACGAGCGCAACCCUCGACCUUAGUUGCCAGCAUUCAGUUGGGCACUCUAAGGUGACUGCCGGCUAAAAAGUCGGAGGAAGGUGGGGAUGACGUCAAAUCAUCAUGCCCCUUAUGACCUGGGCUACACACGUGCUACAAUGGGCGGUACAAAGGGUCGCGAACCCGCGAGGGGGAGCCAAUCCCAAAAAGCCGCUCUCAGUUCGGAUUGCAGGCUGCAACUCGCCUGCAUGAAGCCGGAAUCGCUAGUAAUCGCGGAUCAGCAUGCCGCGGUGAAUACGUUCCCGGGCCUU
rnacentral:rRNA from 1 species